CCGAUGCCAGGGCCUGGGGCGGUUCGCGGCCCCUCCUCCAGCCCCGCUCAGCUGCGGCCCUCGGCUCCACGUGCUGAUUCUACCCGCGCCGGAACCGCCGGCGGCGGCGCCUGGUUUCCGCGGGGACCCACUUCCCGGACGGACCCGACCCGACCCCCGCGGGACGCGGCCCGGCAGAAGCGGCUGUGCUUCAGCAUAUGAAAGAGAAGAGUGAUUAUGGUGUGUGUUGUGCAGGAGGAAGAAUACGGCAUCAAGUCUGAUCAAGAAAUGCUGGCAGAAUGUUGGGCUCUUUGAUAUUUUGCCAUGUGAAUUUGCCCAUGCGAUGUCUUGUUCACGGUGUACACCGCUGGAGGUGGCCUGCCUGUGGACGGAGGAAUGUUGGACACUUCAGAAAAGGCGUGCACACCACAAGAACACCAUUCAGUGGUAGGGUUACCCCCGUCUUCACUAGAGCUCUGGCUUUUGGUGAUAGAAUUGCCAUCAUUGAUCAAAAUGGAGAGCACACGUACAGGGACCUUUACACUCAAAGUGUCCACUUGUCUCAGCAAAUCUGUGAAGUGCUCAGAUGUUCCAGUGGAGACCUAAAGGAGAAGCGGAUCUCGUUUUUAUGCCCAAAUGAUGCCUCAUAUGUGAUUGUCCAGUGGGCUUCCUGGAUGAGUGGAGGCAUAGCUGUUCCCCUGUACAGGAAAUACCCAGUGCAGGAACUGGAGUAUUUCAUCCAAGACUCCCAGAGUAGUCUAGUCAUUGCCACGGAAGAGUAUAUGAGGGACAUAACCCCUAGUGCUGAGAAACUGGGAAUACCCGUUCUGCCACUUGUUAACUCUGGUAGCGAUGGAUGUAUAAAUGAUAAGACUGUGGAAGCGUUCCCCUUGGCCAUUGACUGUCCCGAGUGGAAAAAUAGAGGAGCCAUGAUCAUCUACACCAGUGGGACUACAGGAAGACCAAAAGGUGUCCUUAGUACCCAUCAGAAUGUGCAGGCUGUGGUCACAGGGCUGGUUGACAAAUGGGAGUGGACAAAGGACGAUGUUAUCUUGCACGUGCUGCCUUUACACCAUGUCCACGGAGUGAUCAAUAAGUUGCUGUGCCCUCUUUGGGUGGGAGCUACGUGCAUCAUGCUACCCGAGUUCAGCCCUCAGAAGGUUUGGGAGAAGUUCUUAAGCCCCCGAGCUCCACGGAUCAGCGUCUUCAUGGCGGUCCCCACUGUUUACUCCAGGCUGGUGGAGUAUUAUGACAGGCAUUUCUCUCAGCCUCAUGUCCAGGAUUUUGUACAUGCCACGUGCCGGGAUAAUUUCAGGUUAAUGGUUUCAGGAUCGGCAGCCCUUCCCGUUCCAGUCCUGGAGAGGUGGAAGAACAUCACCGGACACACGCUGCUGGAGAGGUACGGGAUGACAGAGAUCGGAAUGGCACUUUCUAACCCCUUGCACGGAGUUCGUGUCCCAGGAUCUGUGGGGACCCCGCUGCCAGGGGUGGAAGUGCGCAUUGCCACGGAGCGCUUGAGCAGGGAAGGUCCUUCCUACAUCAUCCACGCUCAAGGAGAUGAACGUGACACAAAGGUGUAACACACCCAUAUCUACCGUCUACGGACAUCAUAAAGGCUUCCGGAGGGGAUUGCUGCUGACACAGGCCUCACAAGAUGUCUUGGAGCUGGCCUUUCCCCGUGAGAAGAUUUUACGAGGCCUAUCAAACAAGAUCGCCCCACCUGCAGCCUAUGGACUGUGGGCCGUAUGCAUCCGGCGCUUGAUUGGGAAAAGGGUGCCUGUAGACCCUUGGUGAGGGGUGGCUGGCGGGCAUUAGCGGGACUCCACUGAAACACACUUUCAACUUUCGUGCUUUGUGUGAAAAGCUUGUGCAAUGCCCCUUUGCUCCAUAGUGCAAGGCUACCUCUGAUGAAAGGUCUCACUCCAUUAACGUCCAUUAUAAACUCCUCUCCGGUGGUUCCCUACAGAGAGGGGCAGCGUGCAUCAGGAAAACAAAUGGCCACUUUGAGCAAAUCAAAGGGCUACUUGCCAAGUGGGAACUCCCACCUAUUUACAAGCCACUGUUGCUUCCGGCUAAUGAAGAGGUAAAAUGGAAGCAUUGAAAAUACGCAUUUUAUAAUCACCCGGAUUUAUUCCUUCAGAGGAUUUAUUACAACCUUUUAUUUUCAUGUGUGGAAAGUGUAAUCUUAUCUAGUGCGUCGGCAGGUCCAGUUCAAUUGGCUGAAUCCGGUUUACAGUGGAAAGCUAUCAAACGCCAACCUUCUAGGGCACGCUGUCUGAAUGUUAAAGUUGCUAGAAUACAAAGCAGUUGAAACGUGCAUUAAAAUAUGGCACUUGGAGAAUAGGAUAUCUAUGCAAUUAGCAAUCUGAUGCUUUCAGCAGCUGCGUGUAACUUAGAUCCAGUGUAUCAACAAAGGAUACCUUUGAGAUUUAACAGAGUGAGGAGCUAGCUAGCUAGCUGUAUGAUGCUGCCGAGAAAGCCCAGAAUUUGAAACAUGUAGCAGUGUGUUCGGCUUGGUGUGUGCCUAUGAUUUGGGCCUGUGUCGAAGGUGAGCAGUUGUAACUGAUAAGUGCCUUGAACCCUGAAUUUUAAUUUAUGCUGUUUUCCAGCAACAGAGCUGCUGGCACUCAAGUGGUUUGCAUCCUCUUUGGACACUGGGGAGCAGUGCCAGUGACAUUCUGAGUUCAGCAAGCAAAAUCCUAUUAAGAUAACGUCACGGCCUUUCUGUUUUACUGUUUGCAAGCCAGCCAUAACAUCAUUAAAUUACACAACAGGGAGGUGCCUGCUGCCAAGGAGCUCUGCUCUAGAUAAGAUGUGGGUUGAGCCUCUGCCAAAAUUUGAGUUGAUAUGACAAGAAAUUUGGAGCCUGUUCAAGGUUUGAUUCAUGCAAAGAGGAGCAGCGUGCAGGUAAAUACUACGCUGGAUUGUUCACCCAUGCAGCUAAAGAUAUAUGCCCUCCCUUCCUUUUGGGACGUGGCAGGUGUUCUGCAAAGACCUUUUAUAAGGACAGGUAAAAAUGCCCAGGCACAUUCCUGCACUGCAAUGCAGCACAGCUUAUUCUUUGUAGAGUGCUGGACGGGUUGUGUCUAAAGAGGUUGAUGGUGCCUGAUUUACAUCAGUCUUUGUUUCAACAUCUAAGAAAAGAAAACAUCAAAUCAAGUAGGAGCAGCAGAAGAACCAAAUGCAGCUACUAGUGAGUUCAAAAGUCAUUUUCAGUGACUCCUGUAUCCAUCUUUCUGGAACUGAGGGGUAACCUUUCAGCUGAAGGACUUGACUUCGGGGGCUCAGACCAUUAAUUAAAUGCAUGUAUGUGGGGAAUAAUAUAUAUUCUGUCUUUUUGAUUUUUAGCUGAGUUGUAGCUUUGAGUGCUUAGAUCCAGUGGAAACUCAGACUGGUUUUAUUGGAGCAUGUGUAUUGAGAAAUGUUUAUUUUUAAAGCCAAAGUGGCGCUUCUUUGGCAUCAUUCGUAGGAAGCUGUGUUAUCCAGUGGUUAGAGCCUGGGGCUCUACUCUGGGCUGAGUCACCGAAUCACUUUGAAUAACUUGCUUUGUUGUCUGAUGCCACAGCUAUACCAGCAGGAAAAUGGAGGGAAGAGAGACCUCCUUGUAAAACUGCACAUGGCAUCUAAGCUGGGCUUUCCUAGGGAAAUGAGUUACCGAACAUGGUUAAGAAAAGGUCUUUCCGGCAUUUUGCAGUAGAGAACCUUUGUUACCAUUUGACAGUAUUGUGGAGAUGCUAAGCCUGACGCGCUACGUGUUUCACACUUUAUUUCAUUUCUUUGGACACAAUGCCCAGAAAGCCCCAACACUGUUGGAGCCACAGCCACGGAUUCACCAUAAGGCAGGGCCCUGGGUGUAUCAGAGCAGACCCACCGGCGAGAACUGACUUCAGUAUCUUGUCUGUGUUGCAAGAGCUACAGUAACUAAGUGAUUUGAAAAACUUCCUUUAUGGAUAUUCAUGUUGAGGGUCCUCAGGAGUAGACUGUAUAUGAGCAGAACCCACAACAACCUCUGUCACUGCACUUUUUGUCUCUUAUGCAUCUGCAUCCUCACAACCAUAAAGCUAUAUACAUUUUAGGGACAGAUGAGUUACCAUUCUAGCUCAGACUAGUCCAAUCUUGUCUGGUGAACUUCCUGUGAGUCUUCAGAUUCAUGGGAUCGUCAUGUUCCAUUCGUCGCUGAUGCAGGUUUGCAGAACGCUGAGGUGUCUCUGUAGCCUGGCAUUCGACAGAAGCUGAAAGGACACCUGCCACUCUCUAGAAUAUAUCGGGUUUCAUUGUCUCAUGUCCCUUUUCAAAAAAUGAAAGGUGUUGCCCUGACAGCUCUGCAAAGUGAAGCCUUCUAAUUAUCCACACAGCAGGCAGCAGGGCAAGCUUCCCCCAUGCUACCUUCCCUCAUCCAAUAAUGUGUUUCAGACCUAGCCUGGCGGGACCCCAAUGGAGUGUGGCGGAGUAGUUUCCAUUCCUGGCCUCUCUAAAAAAAAAUUGGAUACAGAGCACUGCCAGUGGUGAUAGAGGUGCUCGUGCUGUGGACACUAAAAUCAAACCCAUCAACUCAUUCACCGAGCAGCUGUCAGAUGGUAAUGCCUUUUUGUCUCUGGUAAUCCAGGCUAAGGUUGAGUAAGUGACCUAGAGACUGAAGACCCCCUGGCCGGUUACCAGAAAAGCGUAGGUUUUGGUCUUGCUUUAUUUUCUCCCAGCGCACAGGUCUGUCAGCAGCUCUGACCCGACGUAUUAAACUGUGUAUUCUGCAGGGUGCUCCCAGAGUAUAUUUCUCUGGAUCUGGCAUUACCUUAAUUAUACCAGGGUUACCGUCUUUUGGAGGACAUGGCCAAGCAUCCCGUGAUAGGUCGAAAGAGAAGCUUCUGCUGCCUUCCCCAGGAGGGCAGGAGUUCACUUUUUUCCCAUGCCAGGUGACAGGUUGCUGGAAGUGCCAAGUGGCACAGCUGGCAUCUGGUGUCCUCUGCAGCUGUCGUUUCAAAGGCUGAGCCGUCGUCCAACCCACAAAAUUAUCCUGGCUAAGCUGGCCGCUGUCACUGCUAGACACACAGACUGGUCGGCAACAGCUCUCUAAUGGCCAAUUCAGGCUAUCUUCUCUCGUCAUCUUCAUUUCACCCCAUCAAAGGCUCCGUACGAGACAGGAACUGCCUUGCCAACUCAGGAAGGCUGGGUGUGAGUCUCGGCAGUGCACACCCAUGGUGAUCUUGGAGACAUGGGAAAGGGUGGCUCGAGAGCAGUGCAUGACACCUGCCCUGGCAGGAAAUGUGACACAAGCCGCAAGAGCCUUUUCUUAUUGCCAAGGAACCUCCCUGUCCCCCACCCCCACAUUCAUACUCAAUAAACAGCCUUCUCCGCGUACCUGGAUCAGCUGUGCAGCACACUGAUGGGGAGACGCUGUCAUGCUCACUUUCGAUGGGCUCCUCAAAUGAUGUCACAGAGACACCAUUCACACUGCUGAAUGCCCGGGCCGGGCAUUUCAGAUGCACCAUUUGAUAAAAAGAAAUCUAUGAACACAGGUCACAAGAAGUUAGAAGACACAACUGAUGUCAUGGUGUAGGAGACAGCCCGUGAUGCUAGGUGAGAGGCACCACAGGAAAAAUGCUUGUCAAGCAAAAGGAGCUUGCUCUCUGCUGGAGAAUUGAGGACCAAGCUCAGCUGGCCCAGAGAGAUACAGACAGUCUCCAACAGGGAAAGAAUCCUACUACUGAAAGUGCGGUGACCCCCGGCUUAGAUGGCAAAGAAGGUGAGCUUUUCGUUAAGGGGCCGACAGUAUUUCGAGAAUACUGGAAUAGACCUGAAGAAACAAAAGAAGCUUUCACAUCCGAUGGCUGGUUCAAAACAGGU